AGUUCUUUUACUGAGAUUGAUAUUGAUAUUGUAGGCGGUAAUCAUCUAACCGAUAUCCCCCAAAUCACGCAUUAUAGAUGAAUUGAGGUCCAAUCUGUGCUCUGAUUAGAAGGGUGUCAAUACCGCACCACUGUUAAGAACAAUAUGUGAGUGACCCUAAUAUACUAGGUAACUCUAAUGAGAAUGGUGGGAACCCUCACAUAGCAGGUUAAGCCACCUCAUCUACCCUCAUAUAGUAG
rnacentral:lncRNA from 1 species